ACUCCUACGGGAGGCAGCAGUGGGGAAUAUUGCACAAUGGGCGCAAGCCUGAUGCAGCCAUGCCGCGUGUAUGAAGAAGGCCUUCGGGUUGUAAAGUACUUUCAGCAGUGAGGAAGGUGGGUAUGUUAAUAGCAUACUCAUUUGACGUUAGCUGCAGAAGAAGCACCGGCUAACUCCGUGCCAGCAGCCGCGGUAAUACGGAGGGUGCGAGCGUUAAUCGGAAUUACUGGGCGUAAAGCGCAUGCAGGUGGUUUGUUAAGUCAGAUGUGAAAGCCCGGGGCUCAACCUCGGAAUUGCAUUUGAAACUGGCAAACUAGAGUACUGUAGAGGGGGGUAGAAUUUCAGGUGUAGCGGUGAAAUGCGUAGAGAUCUGAAGGAUACCGGUGGCGAAGCGGCCCCCUGGACAGAUACUGACACUCAGAUGCGAAAGCGUGGGGAGCAAACAGGAUUAGAUACCCUGGUAGCGUAG
rnacentral:rRNA from 1 species